ACAACAACGCGUCUGCGCAUGCCCGGGCGCUGGGUUCAGGGGCUUUCCGCCGCUCUGGGUUCACAGCUGGACGUCGGGAGUGCUAGUUUGGAGUACGCCAUUUGAGAGUAGGCGUGAGAAGUUGCUCUGUGUGCUGAGCGUUCUAAAGGAAGGCGUCCGUUGGCCUUCGUACCCGUCUUGAGUGAGGUGACGAGUGUUUUCUAGUACUGGGGUCGGCCGCGCAGCCCUCUCAGGGGUGGGUGGCAGGAAGAGUGCCGGGUCCCGCGUGGUGCAAAAGGUGGGUUCAGGUUUGCGGCCACACAGCGCUACUCAGGACUUUUUAGUCUUGUUUAUUUUCUCCGUGCCUGUUCCCGCCCCCCGCAGCUCCACCUCUGGGAGAGGGGCGGGUUCAGCUCCAGGAGGCGGGGACUUCCCGGCUUGGCGUGGCUGGGGUGUCCCGUGGACCCCAGUCUCGGCGCGGUGACCCACUUAUGGGACUUGGCCUUUCUUUGUUGUUUGUUUAAGGCAGGGUUUCUCAGCCUGGGCACUACUGAGGUUUUGGGCCGGCUAAUUCUGUCUGGGUUGGGGAGGGUGCUGUCCCGUGCUUCGCAGGUUGUGUAGCUGCAUCCCCCGCCUCUACCCAGUGGAUGCAAGUAGCAGCCCCAGUGAACCAAAAAUGCCCCCAGACUUUGCCAAAUAUCCCCUCCCGGGGAAGAUCGCCUCGCUUGAGAACCACUGUUGGAGGAGAGCCUGGGUUUUCGGGAGGUAACCGUUUACAAAGGGGAGAACGGUAAGAAGCCGGAAGCAACGAUGACUUAGCUACGUGAAAGACUUGCGGCCGGGCUCGCCCCUCUUCUAGAAGCCGUCAGUUUGGGUCUCGCGUCUGGAAUCACCGUCAAGGAGUCAGAUCCAGCCCCGGAGAGGGAGCAGGGUCGAGGUCUCCUUGCAGAAGGCGCCACCGCAGGAAGCACAGGCGCAACGUGCGGUCUCCCUAGCGGAGGCGCUCGCGAUCCUGCAGCCGCCGGUCCGGGAGGUGCUCGGUAGCCCUCCUUGGUGCCUGUCCGGUAGCUGGUCACUCUCGGGGGAAGGUCGUGUGCAGAAGGGCACAUGCGAUCACACAGAGACGGCGUUGCUGCGGCUUUGACCCGAUGGUGCACCCGAAAGAACACAGAGGGUGAAGGGAGAGAUCCAGGAAGUGGUCGCGGAGCAGAACCCCCCUUCACUUCAGUUAAAAAGGAAGUCCUGAGUUGAGGCUUGCGGGAUCCUUUCCGGAGAAAGCGCAGGCUAAAGCCGCAGGUGAAGAUGUCCAACUACGUGAACGACAUGUGGCCGGGCUCGCCGCAGGAGAAGGAUUCGCCCUCGACCUCGCGGUCGGGCGGGUCCAGCCGGCUGUCGUCGCGGUCUAGGAGCCGCUCUUUUUCCAGAAGCUCUCGGUCCCAUUCCCGCGUCUCGAGCCGGUUUUCGUCCAGGAGUCGGAGGAGCAAGUCCAGGUCCCGUUCCCGAAGGCGCCACCAGCGGAAGUACAGGCGCUACUCGCGGUCAUACUCGCGGAGCCGGUCGCGAUCCCGCAGCCGCCGUUACCGAGAGAGGCGCUACGGGUUCACCAGGAGAUACUACCGGUCUCCUUCGCGGUACCGGUCCCGGUCCCGUAGCAGGUCGCGCUCUCGGGGAAGGUCGUACUGCGGAAGGGCGUACGCGAUCGCGCGGGGACAGCGCUACUACGGCUUUGGUCGCACAGUGUACCCGGAGGAGCACAGCAGAUGGAGGGACAGAUCCAGGACGAGGUCGCGGAGCAGAACCCCCUUUCGCUUAAGUGAAAAAGAUCGAAUGGAGCUGUUAGAAAUAGCAAAAACCAAUGCAGCGAAAGCUCUAGGAACAACCAACAUUGACUUGCCAGCUAGUCUCAGAACUGUUCCUUCAGCCAAAGAAACAAGCCGUGGAAUAGGUGUAUCAAGUAAUGGUGCAAAGCCUGAAGUAAGUAUUCUAGGUUUGUCGGAACAAAACUUUCAGAAAGCCAACUGUCAAAUCUGAUUAGCCACUUAUAUCUUAGACUAUACUUUUUGGGAAGUCUAGAGAUGUAUAUAAUGUGCUAAAUUCAAAGUAGCAAAUCUGAAGAUAGGCAAUGUCAAACCCAUGAAAAUGGGAGAUUAAUGAGCUUUAUUUGGCCGUGCAUGGUGCCUCAUGCCUGUAAUGAGGCAGAUGGCUUGAGUCCAGGAGUUCAAGACUAGCCUGGGCAAUGUGGCAAAACCGCGUGUUUACAAAAAAUACAAAAAUUAGCCAGGCAUGGUGGUGCAUGCCUGUAGUCCCAGCUGUUUGGGAGGCUGAGGCAGGAGGAUCUUUGAGCCUAGGAUGCUAAGGUUGCAGUGAGCCAAGAUGGCACCAUUGCACUCUAGCCUGGGCAGCAGAGCGAGACCCUGUCUCAAAAAAUACAUUUAUUUUUUUCAUUUUCAGUUAACAGUGUACUCUUAUAACACCGUUAUUAGCUGGUACUUUGGUGAUUUCUAUUACUAGUUUUUCUAAGCUAUUUACAGAGUGUUUGUAGCUUUCAUUUGCAGCAUUAUGUUCCCACAAAUUCUGUACUCAGCAUAUACAGUAUAGUUUAUCUGCUCUAUUUCUGUCUUAUAGAAAUCAUGAAUGUGGUCUGCAGACAUUGAUGAAGAAAAUCUGUUGGUAAUUGAUACAUGGGCUAAAGCAUCAGAGGUUUAAUUUGAAGUUUAUGUUCACACACUGAAAACUUAGUUUUUUUGUUGGUAGAUCCAUGUGCAUGCUAGAAUUUGGGACAGGCACUAUUUGCAUAAAGUAUUAAAGUCAAUUUUUAAACUAAGCAAAGGUACACGUUGUAACGGUGGGGCAUCUGUGAAAAAGAUGUCCCUUUCAUAAUAUAUGCAAUAUAUUCCAGAUGUUUUGAGAGAUUACAGAAGAGGAGGCCUGCUUCACUUGCAGAUAAGUUUAUUAUAAUUCUCCAGAAAUGUGCAGGAUGUGCAUUAGCAAAUUGCACUGUACUUUUCACUCCAGCCUGGGUGACAGAGCAAGACUCCCGUCUCGGGGGCUUAAAAAAAAAAAAUGCUGUAUCUAAAUGAAUCUGUGUAAUUGGGCCCAGAUGUGGGUUUGCUCAGUAUUAGUAGACAAGGUCUUUGUUCAGACGAUUAGGUGCCUAACUGGCAAAUGCCUUAGUUUCUUAAAACGUAUUUUCUGAUGUGGCUUUACAUUUCAAAAGUGAACUUGAUUCAACCUGAGAAAACUGAUUAAAAAAUUAGUUUAAAUUUGCCAGCAGGGAAGUAAAAUAAUUAUGGGAAGAGUGUCUUAAGCCUAAUAUUAAAUCAGUUUUGUUAAGGGGAAAACUCAAUAGUUCUGUUACUUAGGCUGUUAGAUCCAAGUUGAUUUUUGUGUCUACAGCUAAAUUUUGUUUACAAUUAGGCUAUUUUUUAAUAUAGGAUUUAGAAACCAAGGGUAUGUGUUUUAAAAUUACACUUUUUCUUAACCUGUCUAGCUGUCGGAAAAGGUAACAGAAGAUGGAACUCGAAAUCCCAAUGAAAAACCUACCCAGCAAAGAAGCAUAGCUUUUAGCUCUAAUAAUUCUGUAGCAAAGCCAAUACAAAAAUCAGCUAAAGCUGCCACAGAAGAGGCAUCUUCAAGAUCACCAAAAAUAGAUCAGAAAAAAAGUCCAUAUGGACUGUGGAUACCUAUCUAAAAGAAGAAAACUGAUGGCUAAGUUUGCAUGAAAACUGCACUUUAUUGCAAGUUAGUGUUUCUAGCAUUAUCCCAUCCCUUUGAGCCAUUCAGGGGUACUUGUGCAUUUAAAAACCAACACAAAAAGAUGUAAAUACUUAACACUCAAAUAUUAACAUUUUAGGUUUCUCUUGCAGAUAUGAGAGAUAGCACAGAUGGACCAAAGGUUAUGCACAGGUGGGAGUCUUUUGUAUAUAGUUGUAAAUAUUGUCUUGGUUAUGUAAAAAUGAAAUUUUUUAGACACAGUAAUUGAACUGUAUUCCUGUUUUGUAUAUUUAAUAAAUUUCUUGUUUUCAUUCUUA